GGUAUUGGUGGUUCAGCGGUAGAACCUUCGCCUGCCGUAUGGGAGGCACGGGUUCGAUUACCGACCGGCCG